GACGAACGCUGGCGGCGUGCUUAACACAUGCAAGUCGAGCGGUAAGGCCCUCGGGUACGACGAGCGGCGAACGGGUGAGUAACACGUGGGUGACCUGCCUCUAGCUCUGGGAUAAGCCUGGGAAACUGGGUCGUAAUAACCGGAUAUGACUCCACGGCGCAUGUUGUGGGUGGAAAGCCUUGUGUGGCUAGAGAUGGGCCCGCGGCCUAUCAGCUUGUUGGUGGGGUGAUGGCCUACCAAGGCGACGACGGGUAGCCGGCCUGAGAGGGCGA
rnacentral:rRNA from 1 species